UUUGUGUUGCCCCCAUACAUGUAUUCGGGGCGAAGCUUGGCCUCCCGUGAGCCCAAACUCGCGGAUGGCUUAAAAACGAGCCUCGAGACGGUUAGACGUCGCGACAAGUGGUGGUUACGAGGCCCUUGUGCCUUUGAGCUUUGCGUGUCGCUGCCGUCGUCUGUCUCUCUCGAAAUUAAAACCCGAACGGAGCAUCCUCGAUGUUUCCAGCAUUGCGACCCCAGGUCAGGCGGGAAUACCCGCUGAGUUUAAGCAUAUCAAUAA
rnacentral:misc_RNA from 1 species